rnacentral:rRNA from 1 species
AGACGGGGAGCACCACAACAGGUGGAGCCUGCGGUUUAAUCGGACUCAACGCCGGGAAACUCACCAGAUAAGACAGCUGAAUGAUAGUCGGGCUGAAGACUCUACUUGACUAGCUGAGAGGAGGUGCAUGGCCGUCGUCAGUUCGUACUGUGAAGCAUCCUGUUAAGUCAGGCAACGAGCGAGACCCACGCCAACAGUUGCCAGCUCGUCCUCCGGGAUGGUGGGGACACUGUUGGGACCGCUCUGCUAAAGAGGAGGAAGGAAUGGGCAACGGUAGGUCAGCAUGCCCCGAAUUAUCUGGGCUACACGCGGGCUACAAUGGGUGGGACAAUGGGUAUCGACACCGAAAGGUGAAGGCAAUCUCCUAAACCCAUCCUUAGUUCGGAUUGUGGGCUGCAACUCGCCCACAUGAAGCUGGAAUCUGUAGUAAUCGUGUUUCAAAAUAGCACGGUGAAUACGUCCCUGCUCCUU